AAUUCUCAACCUUUCCAGCUUUGCUUGGAUAGGCUUGGAUUGUGGAAGCUGCUGGUUUCAACAGGAAUCAGCUCUUCUGAAAUGCAUUAGCAAGAUCAUUGCCGAUCAUCUCUGGUAUGAUAAUUAUCUAUACCGCAGAGGACGAGCUCCUGAGAUCGUGCUUCUAACCGUCCCUCUACUGGGACAGCACACCCAUGACCA
rnacentral:misc_RNA from 1 species